AUCCAGCGAACUUGGCAGAGAUGCCUUGGUGCCUUCGGGAACGCUGAGACAGGUGCUGCAUGGCUGUCGUCAGCUCGUGUUGUGAAAUGUUGGGUUAACGUCCGCAACGAGCGCAACCCUUAUCCUUUGUUGCCAGCGAUUCGGUCGGGAACUCAAAGGAGACUGCCGGUGAUAAACCGGAGGAAGUGGGGAUGACGUCAAGUCAUCAUGGCCCUUACGAGUAGGGCUACACACGUGCUACAAUGGCGCAUACAAAGAGAAGCGACCUCGCGAGAGCAAGCGGACCUCAUAAAGUGCGUCGUAGUCCGGAUCGGAGUCUGCAACUCGACUCCGUGAAGUCGGAAUCGCUAGUAACCGUGGAUCAGAAUGCCACGGUGAAUACGUUCCCGGGCCUUGUACACACCGCCCGUCACACCAUGGGAGUGGGUUGCGAAAGAAGUAGGUAGCUUAACCUUCGGGAGGGCGCUUACCACUUUGUGAUUCAUGACUGGGGUGAAGUCGUAACAAGGUAAGCGUAGCGAG
rnacentral:rRNA from 1 species